UGUUUAGUAAGUACUCACUGGCUCACAGCUUGGUAGGCUUUAGUAAGUACUCACUGGCUCACAGCCUGGUAGCUUUUAGUAGGUACUCACUGACUUACGGCCUGGUAGCCUUUAGUAGGUACUCACUGGCUUACGGCCUGGUAGCCUUUAGUAGCUACUCACUGACUUACAGCCUGGUAGCUUUUAGUAGCUACUCACUGGCUCACAGCCUGGUAGCCUUUAGUAAGUACUCACUGGCUCACAGCCUGGUAGCCUUUAGUAAGUACUCAAUGGCUCACAGCCUGGUAGCUUUUAGUAGGUACUCACUGACUUACGGCCUGGUAGCCUUUAGUAGGUACUCACUGGCUCACAGCCUGGUAGCCUUUAGUAGGUACUCACUGGCUCACAGCCUGGUAGCCUUUAGUAGGUACUCCCUGGCUUACGGCCUGGUAGCCUUUAGUAGGUACUCACUGGCUCACAGCCUGGUAGCCUUUAGUAGGUACUCACUGGCUCACAGCCUGGUAGCCUUUAGUAAGUACUCACUGGCUCACAGCCUGGUAGCCUUUAGUAGGUACUCACUGGC